UGGGGAAUAUUGGACAAUGGGCGCAAGCCUGAUCCAGCAAUGCCGCGUGGGUGAAGAAGGUUUUCGGAUUGUAAAGCCCUUUUGGCAGGGACGAUGAUGACGGUACCUGCAGAAUAAGCCCCGGCUAACUUCGUGCCAGCAGCCGCGGUAAUACGAAGGGGGCUAGCGUUGCUCGGAAUGACUGGGCGUAAAGGGCGCGUAGGCGGCGAUCAAAGUCAGGCGUGAAAUUCCUGGGCUCAACCUGGGGGCUGCGCUUGAUACUUGGUUGCUUGAGUGGGGAAGAGGGUCGUGGAAUUCCCAGUGUAGAGGUGAAAUUCGUAGAUAUUGGGAAGAACACCGGUGGCGAAGGCGGCGACCUGGUCCUUGACUGACGCUGAGGCGCGAAAGCGUGGGGAGCAAACAGG
rnacentral:rRNA from 2 species